UCUACAUGGAGGGUUCAUUCUUGACCACUCAGGAACUCAAGACCUUUUCCCUGUCCUUACAUAGUCAUUAAACCCAAGUCUUUGAAAACCAAGCUUGGUAAAUGCUGUCAGGGACAGUCAGUGUCAAUGUCAACUUAGCUCUCUUGAUUUCAAUUCUCUUUUUGUUUUUAGCGUCUGGAGAUUUUCUUCCUUUCUUAUGAGUGCCUCUAUGACUACAAUAAGAUGUUUGUUAUAUUUCACCCAAAGUUCCUAGGUGUUCUGUAUUGAUUGCAGAUAGUUCAGGAAAUCCAGUUUACAUAUUGUCAGAUGUGGAAGUCCAGAAUGUCUAAAUCUCUUUUACUAGUGAUAUAACACAGAGAAGUACUUUACAGAAAGACAGUUGAAGCACAUUACAGAGCAUACUGCGUAACCACCAUCCAAAGCAAGAGAUGGAACACUGCAGCAUCCCAGAAGUCUCCGACUUUUUUUUUUAAAUCGAGGCAGCAAGUAAAUAUGGAAGGGAAAAAUGACCACUGAAGCAGAAAGGCCACAGUUACCUACAGGUGCAGAGAUGGUGGUGGAACCUGGAAUGUAUGAGCACUACUGAGCCACAGUGUAGUUACUUUUGCUUCAAGGUGUCUAAUUACCUGACUGGCACACCAACGGUACAAGUUGAGGAUAGAGACACCAAAGAGGAGUCCAGGCCAAGGCUGUCUUUAACACAACUUACCAAGAUAUUAUGGAAAAUACAGACGAAUAGGAACAGAACAGCAAGGAGGCACUGGAUUCGGCGGCUACCAAACCUCAUGCUCAUAUAUUCUGGCAUUGUCGCUACCUGUAAAAGCAACCAGACAAGUCACCAUCAGACAGAGUGCCGAGAGGCAGACCCACUUUUGGGGACAUAUUUGAUAAUAGCAGAUUAAAAGUC